UAUAGCGACCGUAUAUUUUUAAUUAACAAUUUAACUGUUGCUAAACUGUUCAUUCAAUUUCCAUCGGCUUCUGGAAAUUAUAAUCUGUACCAAAAGAGCUUUUGUAUCACCAAGUUAUUUAAUUAUUAAUAAAUAAUUACUUACCUAAAAUUUUAGUUAAAAAUUAAAGAUUUUGUUGGAAAAACCCGCAUUUUCCGAGGAAAAUUUUCGUCGAAGUAAAUCGAUAAAAACAUGUCUCUAUGCAGAAUUUAAUUACGGUGAAUUUUUGUUGGAGUGUUUUUGGUAUAAAGUUAAAAUCUUUGUAGUUAUAAAGCAAAAAUUUAAAAAAACACGAUUUUUGGGAGACAUUUUGUUUAUAAAAAGUAGCACACCAUCUGCGGAAUUUGCAUACAUAUAUUAUUAAUAUAUAGAAUCAUAAAAAUGGCCUAUUCUCCGAUAAUCUGCCCAGACUACUAUACAAUAUUUAUCUUUUUUAUUAUUAACUCACAUUAACUUUUACUAUUUGUUUGAAUUUAUAUUAUAUUUCAGAAUAAUCAGAAAUACGUAUUUACGGUUGCCUUCCAUCUUAUAUACCAUUGUUUUGUUUCGCUUGUUGCGAAAUAUGCCAAUAUUUUUUACCUUUUUUACUAUGCACUCGCAUUCAUCUUUAUUACUUUUUUUAUACGUAUAUUUCCACAGGUUGCUGUAGCUUCCUCCGUGGAUAUCGUUAGUUGUUGACUUCAACACUCAGGGUCUUCUAACACUAUUGCCACAAAUUGGACACAUUGCACCAUACUGAUAUGUCCAAAUAGUUAGAAAUACGUAUUUACUUAAACUGUUGCUAGACAUGCCAACAUUUUUUAUCUUUUUUACUAUUCACUCACAUUUAGUACAUAUAAUCCGGUCAACUUCAGACAUCAAAAUAAUUGGCAAAUAACAAAAAUUGCCGGAGAGCUAGAGUUUACCAUAACAAAUAAAAUUUUAAAAGUCCCCAUCGAUCCCAUUUGUACAACAAAAGAUAUUCGGUUUCAAAAUUUGAGAUUUUUGGAUUUUCUCGAAAACGGUAAGUUUUAUCAAAAAAAACAUCAAAUUAAAGUUGUAGAUCUGAACAUUCUUUACAAAAAUAGUCGUUACAAUUUUUUUCCUAAGAGUUACCAUUCCUGUGAUAUCGCGAUUUUAAGUUACUUUAUACAUUAUAUGCACAUAUAAGCCACGUAUAUACAUCAUGUGGCACUUAAGACAAGUAUAAAUUAAUAUUUGUGUCUCUUUUAUAUAAUAUAUUAUACUAUUCGGAAAAUAUUUCUUCAAAAGAUAAUCAGUCCCAAACUGAAUUUCCUCUAUCCACGUGACCUUAAAAAACAUUUGGCUAUACCAUUGUUUAAAAAAACAGAUUGUCUAUUGUAAACAAUGGCUACAGUAUUGUCCGUAGGUUUUGUUCAUUAUUAUCUGUUUCUUUUAGUGCUAAAGGUUCAGUUCAAGUGAAUAUACGUGCUUAUUACAAGCGUCUACCAUUUAGCAGACAUUACGGGCUUACAGUGACAGUGGUAUUUGACGGCUACAGUGACUCGACAAAGAAUAUUAAAGCUGCAGAACAACGUCGUCCAACUACAAAAACAUCAUCGGGUUCCGAGAUUAUCUUUGAUGAAAAUAUAACAGUUCCAGCGAAUCAACAACAAUUUUUCGCUAACCUUAAUAAUACAUCUCGUUUCAUUUCCAUGUUAACUGAUAAAUUAACAGCUGCGAAUAUUGAAGUGAAAUAAGCUAAAAAUGACGCAGAUGUCCUUAUAAUUGAGACAGCAAUUGAAAAAUUUAAGGCAACAAACACAAUAAUUGUAGUUGGUGAAGAUUUUGAUUUGUUAGUACAUACUGCUUACUGCAAAGACUCCAGUAGAUAAAGUUAUUUAUUUUAUGAAACCUGGAAGGAAGGGCUCAACAGCGAACAGAGAUAUAUUCUUCGAAAAGUUUAUCGGCUUAUCCCAAAUGCCAAAAGUACAUUUUAUUUUUACAUGCGAUAACCGGCUGCGACACCACGUCCGCAAUGUACAGAAGGGGCAAAACGUCAGUACUUAAAUUAUUCGAAAAAAAAAAAAAAAAAAAAAAAAGAUUUGACUGACUGCUGUAAAGUUUUUACAGAGCUUGAUUCCACACCGCAAACAAUAAUUACGGAAGGAAUUCGCUUUCUUCUUGCGGUUUAUGGACCUCCAAAAAAAAAUUAGUUGUCUUGAUAAAUACCGACACUAAACUUUUGUAAAAAAUACGCGAAACAAGUACAACUAUCAUGUCUUCCUCCAACAUUGUAGCAGAUGGAUUUCUACUACAAUAUUUUAUAAAAAAUAUCCAUUAAUUUUAAUCCUAUCCCAAGAAAAAUAUCAAUUUUUCUAAUUUAUUUUGUCAGUUUAAAUAUCUUUAAAAUUUCCUAAGCCGCUCCUGUUCGAAAUAUUUCAGAAUAUUUUCGCAACAAAGUAAAAUCAUAGGAAAGUUCCUAUUUAUUUGAGUAGCAUUUACCAACUACGUAGAUAGUUAUUGUGAAAUCAUUCAUUAUUCGAGAAUGAAUCCUCUAAAAGGUUUGGUGUUUUUCCUUUAAGUUUUGAGCGAUAAAAAUCCCAUGUUAUUAUUGGUCUGCAUUUUGAAAGAUCCUUGAGUUGUAGUUGACGAUUGGUCAAUAGUUUUGGCCGAACGAUCGAGAAGAAAUGCAUCGUUUGGACGCGAGAGAGACGUGACGAUGUAAAGUUAGUUCUAAAAGUACAUCACUUCAGUAAACAUCUUUUUGUUAGAACUCAAAAAGUCGCACUUUGCCGGCCAAAAUGGUUUUCUUCUUAUAGUAAAAGAACUAAUGGAUUUCUAACAUGUCAAGGAAUAUAAUGACAAUAGUUUCACGGCAUUUUAAUGGAUAUAUUAUUGUGAAACAGUUCUAUUGUUAUGCAGUUUGAUUUGCCGGUAAAAGAAGUGCGUGGUUUCCUGGUUCCUGUCCUUUAUGUAGCUGUUGCUAUUUUUAUGAUGUUUUGAUUUGUUCAUGUUCCAGUAAGAAAUGCCCAGAUGAUAUUAUUUGGUAUCGAUUUUAUCCAGUUUUGUAAUGAUUUGAAUAUCUUCCCCUCCCAGCCCCGUCUGAAUGGAAAAUUUUGAAGUUCCAAGUGUUGUGACAUGGAUUUUUGUUUUAAGGUAUGAUAAUGUUUAUUUUAAAUAAUUCACAAGUGGAUAUUAUUGGUAAAGGUUUUACAUAAUUAAAAAUGUUUGUUUUCAACAUGGAAAAUAUAUUAUGUAAAGUAAAUAUUAGAUGGCAGUGACAUUUGACAGCCAUGUCAAAUUUUUGUUUUGGUACACUGCUAAAAAUAAGGUUAAAAAUUGUAAAAUCAUGUAUUUUGUUAUUAUUAUUCAUUUCUGGUUUGAGAAUGUGUCUAUUCUCAAUAAAAAUAAAAAGGUAUUAAGGUUUAAAUAAACAUUAUAAAAUGUACACAUCUUUAUUUCUGUAACCUCUUUAUUUAAGAAAAUUAUUAACAGAUAUCUAAUACAAGUGAAUAAGUUUUAGAACAGAAGAAAAUAUAAUGGCAUAGAAGCCAAAUGAUGAUAAUUUGUAGCCCACUAUAACCCCAAUGAGGAAUCUACGAUGAAUGUCCCCCAGUUGCUUUCCAGUAAGUACUCGAUAUGAGAAUUUGAGGAUUUUUCAAACGGCGUCCCAAUUUGUUUAAAUAGUAGGAAAGUCCUCAAGUCUGUGUAAGUAUCCUUUGCUUAUUUGGUUAUGUAGUUUAGUCUUCUUUAAACCCUCCUACCCCUCCCAACGAAUCUACGACCUGCCACCGCACAAAAAAUGAGCUGCCGUUCGCAUGAAGGUUUGCGUGUCUGUUCCUUCUGCUAGCCCCAUUUCGACUCCCCAGUAUCUCUAUAGAUAGUCUUUCCUUGAUCCCAUUAGAGCAGACAGGUAAAACGCUUCAAAUGGAUUAUUUCUUUCCCAAGGCACAGAAACUCUUGUCACCUACAGUUCUUUGUAGAGUCAAGAAACAUUUAAGUCUACUCGACUUUAAAGAGUCUGGCGAUUGAUGGCACGCUAGCCCACUCCCUAACAAUGAUGUUUUUGUUUUUGUUUAAUCCCCAUUAGCCAUUAUUUAAAUAUUUUUGUAUUGUUGUCCUGUCACACCCAAGAAGUCAAUGUUUAUUUUUGUAGUUAUCGAAAACUGAAUUGGUAAUCCAGUUUCCUCUCUUCCGAGGAGGCUAUUGUAGCAGAUGGAUUUCUACUACAAUAUUUUAUAAAAAAUA